rnacentral:rRNA from 1 species
UACAGAGGGGGCAAGCGUUGUUCGGAAUUACUGGGCGUAAAGGGCGCGUAGGCGGCCUUCUAAGUUGAACGUGAAAUCCCCGGGCUCAACCCGGGAACUGCGUCCAAGACUGGGAGGCUAGAAUCCGGGAGAGGGAUGCGGAAUUCCAGGUGUAGCGGUGAAAUGCGUAGAUAUCUGGAGGAACACCGGUGGCGAAGGCGGCAUCCUGGACCGAUACUGACACUGAGGAGCGAAAGCCAGGGGAGCAAACGGG